rnacentral:rRNA from 1 species
CGUAGGGUGCGAGCGUUAAUCGGAAUUACUGGGCGUAAAGCGUGCGCAGGCGGUGCACCAAGCUCGAUGUGAAAGCCCCGGGCUUAACCUGGGAAUUGCAUUGAGGACUGGUGUGCUCGAGUGCGGCAGAGGGGGGUGGAAUUCCACGUGUAGCAGUGAAAUGCGUAGAGAUGUGGAGGAACACCGAUGGCGAAGGCAGCCCCCUGGGCCGACACUGACGCUCAUGCACGAAAGCGUGGGGAGUAAACAGGAUUAGAUACCCUGGUAGUCCACGCCCUAAACGAUGUCAACUGGUUGUUGGGGAAGGAAACUUCCUUAGUAACGAAGCUAACGCGUGAAGUUGACCGCCUGGGGAGUACGGCCGCAAGGUUA